rnacentral:rRNA from 1 species
CGGUAAUUCCAGCUCCAAUAGCGUAUACUAAAGUUGUUGCAGUUAAAAAGCUCGUAGUUGGAUUUCUGCGCGGGCGGGGCGUCCGCCGGCCUCAGGUCGGGUUGGGCAGCAACGCCCACGCAUCCUGCGGCGAUCCGCGCUACCAUUCGCUUGGUGGCGUCGGGGACCCGCUCGUUUACUUUGAGAAAAAUAGAGUGUUCAAAGCAGGCAAUUGCCUUGAAUAAUGUAGCAUGGAAUGAUGAUUAAGGACUUUGGUUCUAUUUUGUUGGUGUUCGGAACCGAAGUAAUGAUUGAUAGGGACAGUUGGGGGCGUCUGUAUUCUGAAGCGAGAGGUGAAAUUCUUAGACCUUCGGAAGACAAACAGCUGCGAAAGCGUUCGCCAAGGAUGUUCCCUUUGAUCAAGAACGAAAGUUGGGGGAUCGAAGACGAUCAGAUACCGUCGUAGUCUCAACUAUAAACUAUACCAGCUAGGGAUCGGCCAACGUUGAUCUACAAAGACUUGGUCGGCACCUUAUGAGAAAUCAAUAGCAUUUGGGUUCUGGGGGGAGUAUGGUCGCAAGGCUGAAACUUAAAGGAAUUGACGGAAGGGCACCACCAGGCGUGGAGCCUGUGGCUUAAUUUGACUCAACACGGGGAAACUUACCAGGUCCAGACAUAGGAAGGAUUGACAGAUUGACAGCUCUUUCUUGAUUCUAUGGGUGGUGGUGCAUGGCCGUUCUUAGUUGGUGGAGUGAUUUGUCUGGUUAAUUCCGUUAACGAACGAGACCCCAGCCUGCUAAAUAGCGCGCGUGGCUUCUGGCCGCGGCGAGCUUCUUAGAGGGACUACGGUUCGCCAUAGACCGGGGAAGUUUGGGGCAAUAACAGGUCUGUGAUGCCCUUAGAUGUUCUGGGCCGCACACGGGCUACACUGACGCGUGCAACGAGCAUAUCAGCUGGCCCGAGAGGGCAUGGGCUAAUCUUUUGAACUCGCGUCGUGCUAGGGAUUGACCAUUGCAAUUGUUGGUCAUGCAACGAGGAAUGCCUUGUAAACGCGAGUCAUCAACUCGCAUUGAAUACGUCCCUGCCCCUUGUACACACCGCCC